rnacentral:rRNA from 1 species
CAGCCGCCGCGGGAAUACGAAGGGGGCUAGCGUUGUUCGGAAUUACUGGGCGUAAAGCGCACGUAGGCGGAUAUUUAAGUCAGGGGUGAAAUCCCAGAGCUCAACUCUGGAACUGCCUUUGAUACUGGGUAUCUUGAGUAUGGAAGAGGUGAGUGGAAUUCCGAGUGUAGAGGUGAAAUUCGUAGAUAUUCGGAGGAACACCAGUGGCGAAGGCGGCUCACUGGUCCAUUACUGACGCUGAGGUGCGAAAGCGUGGGGAGCAAACAGGAUUAGAUACCCCAGUAGUCCCUGUCUCUUAUAC